CCCCCCCCCCCAAAUUUCAUCUCUCUUUAUUUUCAUCGUCUCCUUUAGAUAACGCCCUAAUCCGCCACCUCGAAUCUCUCACCCUCUUCGGUGGCGUCACCACCUCCAAUCAACCCCAAAUUCACAACCCAAGAUCCUCACAAUCUCCCCUUUCCCAGUCCCUAAUCAGUUUCCCUCAAAUUGCACUAGAAUCUCUUGAAUCUUCAGUUAAAAUAAUUUGAUCCCAAACCCUAAAAUCAAAAAUCUUCCAAAUUGGCAACCUUUAGUGAAGGAUUGGGGCUAAAGUUGAUUUUAUUCGCGUGUUCUCGUUGAGAACACAAGAUUAAUUUCCAUCGCAGUCAAAAUCAAUGGCUCCAGGAGUCGUUCAAGCCCUUGUCUGCCUUUGUUUAGGUAUUUCAGUAUUCUCUAUAUUUCAUUUUUUUAUUUUAAUUCCUAGUUCUUCAUCUUCUUAUGUUUCUUCUCCUUUUUUUUUCUUUUUAUUAUAAAAUCUUUUCUACAUGUCUGUUACUUGUGGCUAGUAUAUUUUGUUUGCCCCUUUUCUUGAAUCUCUCUGUUGGGCUCUCGAUUUGAACUUGGGUUCUAAAAGUCAGAACCCCAAUGAUAGGAAUUAAACUAGAUUUUGCAAGCCCAGGUUUGGGUUUGAGUCUUGGAUUAAAUUGACCCAUAUUUGGUCUUGACGGUAAAUAAUAGGGUUUGAAAUGUAAGUUUAGGAAUUUAAUCAUGGGAAAUCUUAAAUAACUAAUCUAGGAAAUUUCCUGGAAAGUGGGUUUGGGAAAAUUUUAGAAAACAGAUUUUUUAACUUAGGACUACUUGCAAGAAUGAAAAUUUGAAAAGGGUAAUUGGCAAAUAACUUGGCCCAUUCUAUGCUGCCCUAGUUUCUCCCUAUAAAGGCAUUGUUUCCUUCAUAGCGGACAGAUUUUAGAGAAUUAACAACAAUAACACCUCUAGGGAUGGCUGAACUUCUUCUAGACUCUAAAAAAACUAAAAUUUUCUUAGAGUUUGCUUGUUUCUGCUCCUUGAGUUUUCUUUUAGUCAGAUUUUUCAAUAGCUCUCAAAAUUUGUAUUAAUUCUUGGUUCAAAGCUAGUUCAAAAGGCUGAAUAGUUGUUGUUUGUUUGGCUUCUUUUGUUGCUGAUACUUUAUUGGUGUCCUUUUCUUAAUUUUGAGCUCAUUUCCUUGUUGUUUUUUUGCUGCUGUAAUCAGGUACACAUCUCUGAUUUUGAACAUGUAAGAAUGGCUCGUUUGAUUUGAGGAAAUGAAGAUCUCCAUACUUACUUGAUGUUUUCUAUUAUCUUUUCGUUCAACCUGUUAGUUCAUUUUAUUUGUUUUAACAUGCCAAGAAAUUAUUUUAUGACAUGUGUUGAGGGUUGUAUUUGGACUCUUAUUUGUGCUUGUAGCUUCAGCUUUCUUUUGAAUUCUUUCUCCUAAAUUUCUGAUACUUGUACUGUCAUGUAUGAGCUCAGUGUGGGAUAGUUAGUCUCACUUUAGGUUUUUUUGAGUAAGAUAUUACAAUCUUAGUGAUAUUAAAAUUCCAAAGUAAUCUCCACAAAUGAUUUAGUCUGUUUCGAGUUUUGUCCUUUAAAAAUAAAUAAACUCUUUCAGUUUAAUCUGUAUCAUUGGUAUGUGCAUAUCUUUGAAAUCAUAUUAAGUGUUUUGACUAAAAAUUGGAUUUCAUUACAUUUUGAUAGGAGAGAACAACUAUGUAUAAAUUGUGAUAAGGCUGAACAUUGCAGCAUAGUAUUAAGAUUGGAUUUCAGUUUAUGUUAAAAAUGUGCAAAAGAAAACUUGGGCUAGCAUGAGGCAACGUGGCUGCUGGGCCUCGAAUGAGGCCAGACAUAUGCCCAAGUCGAAUUUUAUUUUAAUUAGAUUUGAUGUUUUAACUCAAAGUUGUCUUAUGUCAAUUUCAGGUUUCUGUUCAUAUGGUGUCAAUCAGGUUUAAUUAUGAUUUUGAUUUUCGUAUCACUGUUUAGUUUGGGAUUAAAACUAAAGUUGAAUGUUGGAUAGUUUUUGUGUUUUUAUGACAUUAAUAUAAAUGAACACAAAUAGUUUUUUCAUUAAAAAAUGUAAUAUGGUUUAGUAAUGCCCAAAGGCCUUUUAGAUUGUUGUUGUGUAUUGAUGAAGUUCAAUUAAGAUUAACUGGUAUUCUUGAGUUUAAAUAUUGAUUUUUUUUCUUUGAAAGGACUUGAGCUUGAGUCCUUGAUUCUUGAGCAUUUGCCUUAAAUUAAAUUUGGGCUCCCUUUGGGCCCAAUGAUUAAUUUGAAUGCUGCGGCCAGUGGCGUCCAUGCAUGCGUGGCCCAAGUGCCUGUAGACCAGCCGUGUUUUUUAGUGAUUGUGCAAACAAUAAUUUCAAAUUUUGUUGGUUUAAAUAUUUUUUUUACAUAAGUUAAGGUGUGCCAUAUUAAAUAAUACCAAUAGUUUAUGCCCCCGUAAUAUUAAAAUAAGAUAUCCUUAGAACAAUUAUACUUGAGGCAUGCCAAAUUAGGCAAGAUAUAACUUAGGGACCUCAAAAGAUUAGUUCAAACUUCUUUUAAAUAUUAGACUUGGGGUAUGCCAUAGUGCAAGAUUAGAUAAACCGUGGCCCUCGAAUAAUUAAUAACGACUACUUAGAAAUCGAAGUGUGCCAUUAUUUGAAUUUUUCAUGACGCUCGCAAGCCUUGUUAUCACCUUAAAAGUGUGUAGUUGCUUUAGAUGUGCUAUUUUUAUAUUAGUUUCUUAAAUUCGGGUGUGCAUUUCAUGUAACCUGACACCAAUUUUUAACAAUUUUAAAUAAAAUGUGUCGUGGACUGUGGGUGCAUUUCAUGUGGCGUGGUUCAAGAUG
rnacentral:lncRNA from 1 species